rfam:Populus trichocarpa scaffold_12_contig_166, whole genome shotgun sequence.
GGGUGCAAUCAUAUCAGCACUAAGUCUGUAGUUAAACAUGCUUGGGCGAGAGGAAUACUAGGAUGGGUGACCUCCUGGGAAGUCCUCGUGUUGCACCCC